CACGUAGGGGGCUAGCGUUGUCCGGAAUCAUUGGGCGUAAAGCGCGUGUAGGCGGCCCGAUAAGUCCGCUGUGAAAGUCGGGGGCUCAACCCUCGAAAGCCGGUGGAUACUGUCAGGCUAGAGUACGGAAGAGGCGAGUGGAAUUCCUGGUGUAGCGGUGAAAUGCGCAGAUAUCAGGAGGAACACCCAUUGCGAAGGCAGCUCGCUGGGACGUUACUGACGCUGAGACGCGAAAGCGUGGGGAGCAAACAGG
rnacentral:rRNA from 1 species